CUUCUUGAAAGACCUGCGCACACAAGCACAGUGCCCAUCUCCUCUCUUGUUCAUCCAAACUCAGCUAAAUAAAAGAAAAUCUGGAAUUGAAACCUUAUCAUCUCUACAAUCAAACAUCCACACAUAAAGGAACAUUAAACCCUAAACCCACCUUCACCCCCCCUCUAUUAUCGGCCGGCCACCACCAUUUUUGGUGGUGGCGGACUACAACAGCAACAACACCACCACCACAGGCGGCGGCGCUGUGGUGGGUGGUGGCGGGUGAUGUCUCAAGCAAGAGAGAGAGUAGUGAGAGGAACGGGACCCGGGCACGACAAACGGCGACAGCAGAGCCGUCACGACGGCGGCGGUGGCACUUUCGAUUCCGACAGUUUCACGGUUAGACCCCCCCCCCCCCGUUCAUUCUCCGGAUCUUUGGUCGGACCGGCUCCGGCUCUGUUUCUGUUGAUGACCCGCUGUUGAAGAUGAUGAUGAUGAUGAUAAGCUGAUGAUGAUGACAGAGAACAGACGAUGGCGGUGUGUCUCUGACGAGCUCCGUCCGAUUCUGAUGCUGUUGAAGUUCGGUUCUUUCAGUUUCAGCAGGUUCUGGUCAACAGUGACAUCUGGUCAGCGUGUUCGAGAUACAUUAGUUUCAGUUCGGUUGACUCGGUCGAACCGAGUCAACCUGGUCAAGCCUGGUCAACUCAGCGAGUCAACUCGGUCAACCCAGUCGACUCGGUCAACUCAGUCAAACGUCGAUAACGUGAAAGACCCGGUAAAGUCAGCGUAGCGAAUUAGUCUACGUUAGAUUUUAUUUAGUAUACGCGAACCGAGCUCGACCCGACUAACUAACGGUUUUACAUAUAGUGAUUUUGUUUCGUAUUCGACGUUUUGAUAUAUUUAACGUAAAAAUUAUAUAAUGUUUGUUGAGUGAUUGCUGAA